rnacentral:rRNA from 1 species
AGAAUCAACGCUGGCGGCGUGCCUAACACAUGCAAGUCGCACGAGAAAGGGACUUCGGUCCUGAGUACAGUGGCGCACGGGUGAGUAACACGUGAAUCAUCUACCUCCGAGUGGGGAAUAACUGAGAGAAAUCUUAGCUAAUACCGCAUAACACUUACGAGUCAAAGCAGCAAUGCGCUUGGAGAGGAGUUCGCGGCAGAUUAGUUAGUUGGCGGGGUAAUGGCCCACCAAGACGAUGAUCUGUAUCCGGCCUGAGAGGGCGCACGGACACACUGGAACUGAAACACGGUCCAGACUCCUACGGGAGGCAGCAGUGGGGAAUUUUGCGCAAUGGGGGAAACCCUGACGCAGCAACGCCGCGUGGAGGAUGAAAUCCCUUGGGAUGUAAACUCCUUUCGAUAGGGAAGAUAAUGACGGUACCUAUAGAAGAAGCCCGGCUAACUCGCGCCAGCAGCCGC